GACGAACGCUGGCGGCGUGCUUAACACAUGCAAGUCGAACGGAGUGGCGAACGGGUGAGUAACUCGUGGGUGACCUGCCCUGCACUUCGGGAUAAGCCUGGGAAACUGGGUCUAAUACCGGAUCGUGCGGGAUGGGCCCGCGGCCUAUCUGCUUGUUGGUGGGGUAAUGGGCUACGAAGGCGGCGCAUGGUAGCCGGCCUGAGAGGGUGGACUGCCACAUGGGGACUGAGAGACGGACCAGACUGCUACGUGAGGCAGCGGGGGGGAAUAUUGCACAAUAGGCGGAAGCCUAAUGCAGCGGCGCCGCGUGGGUGAUGACGGCCUUCGGGUUGUAAACUACUUUCACCAUCGACGCGGUAGAUGGAGAAGAAGCACCGGCUAACUACGUGCCAGCAGCCGCGGUAAUUC
rnacentral:rRNA from 1 species